AUUGAACGCUGGCGGCAGGCCUAACACAUGCAAGUCGAACGAGUGGCGGACGGGCGAGUAAUGCUUGGGCAUCUGGCUUAUGGAGGGGGAUAACUACGGGAAACUGUAGCUAAUACCGCGUACCAUAGGAUGAGCCCAAGUGGGAUUAGGGAGUUGGUGAGGUAAAGGCUCACCAAGCCGACGAUCUCUAGCUGGUCUGAGAGGAUGACCAGCCACACUGGGACUGAGACACGGCCCAGACUCCUACGGGAGGCAGCAGUGGGGAAUAUUGCACAAUGGGGGCAAGCCUGACGCAGCCAUGCCGCGUGAAUGAAGAAGGCCUUAGGGUUGUAAAGUACUUUCGGUAGGGAGGCGUUACCCGCAGAAGAAGCACCGGCUAACUCCGUGCCAGCAGCCGCGGUAAUUC
rnacentral:rRNA from 1 species